rnacentral:tRNA from 1 species
AUUAAAAUAGUUUAUUAAAAUCUAGAGCUGUGGACCCUAAGAUGCCUUAUAAAGGCUUUUAAUC